CUUCAUCCUCCUGUUCUGGAACCAGAUCUUCACUUGUCUCUCGGUCAGUCCCAGGGCGUGAGAGACCUCAAUCCGCCGCUUCCGUGUCAAAUACGGGUUGAAGAGGAACUCCUUUUCUAACUCCAGGGUCUGGUACCGGCUGGGAAUAUUCAGCUCUGGCUGCUUUUGGAUGGGUGUGGGGACGUGGCUGUCAAGCUCAUUCACAAAAGAGAUGUUUCCAGUUUCCCAAAAGGUGAUUCUGUAUGGUGAGUCGUGUUGGCCAGCUCAAUUAAAAAAAAAAAAAUUUUUUUUUUUUUUUUAUAAAGGCUGCAUUGUUCACCGUGAAAUCCUCCCAGCCUUUCUCCUUCUCCUCCCAUUCUCCCGUUCAUUUUUUUUUCUUUCUUUUUCUUUCCUUAUUAUUAUUAUUAUUACUAUUAUUAUCCAAAAUGUCCAUCUCUGUUUUCCUUUUCCAAACCUUGUUCCCAAAAUACAGGCUCAGGGUCCUGCUGUUUGAUAAUAUUUACGCCCUGAGAAUUAGGAUUUUCCAUUAAAUUCCCUACGCCUGUCCUCUCGGUUAUGUAUGUCUCUAAAGCACACACAUACAGAGAUGGAUAUGUGCCUGUGCAAACACAGAGAUUGCAUUUAAAACAACUCGAGGUGGACAUUUGUAGCAAUAGUCAAAAAGAAAGAAAGAGGACGUAGGUAUGUGCAGCUGAGCCCCUGCACUUCCUUCUGCAAAGCCCUUUCUUAAUGAGAAAAACAAUGCAUUUGCAAGAACAAAAAAAAAAAAAAAAAAAAAAAAAAGCUUCAGCUUGAAAUGAUUGCAUCCUUGAGACUACCUCUAGGUCAAAGCUUAGAUAAAUAUCAUGUUUUCCUCUGCGUCUAUCUCCCAGGCUCUCUGGGCCACAUCCUCUCUACAUUAGCCAGAGCUCCUUCCUAUUUCUUUUCUUUCUCUUUUCUUCUUUCUUUUUCAAUUUUCUAGGCAUAGGGGGCUAGGGGAGAAACUUUGGUGCUCUGAUUGUCCUUAAAAUUAACACUAACCUUCACAUGUUUUGAAUUAACAAGGCUUCUAGACAACCUUGGUCCUUAGGUGGGGGAAACUUGUACUUUGAAGUAUUCAGAUUUCUGUGCCAUUAUCUGGGCUUCACAUGAGCAAAGUUCCAUUCAGCCCAAAUUAUUUUGAAUUUCCCACCCCCUUCUUUAACCCAGGACAGUAUAAUGUUCUCCUCCACCCCACCCCAUAGCUCUGAGCUAAGUUUCCUUUUCUGCUUAAACUUUUAUCUCUAGGCUUUAAGAAACAGAUGUAAAGUAUUAGUAAUACUUAUACAAAUUCCCACCUUUCAGGCUUCGUCUCCAAGCGGUUAUGAAAGGCUAUAUGACAUUUUAAAGAGCAGUGUAUUAUCAACAUGCAAAUAACCUCGUGGGAGCUGUAUCUUAUUGCCUAUCCUCAAGGCAAGCAAUAAAAAACAAGUUUUACUUUAUUGUGAUUUAAGCCUUUUGCAGGGAAUCACCUUGCUGGCUCUCUAGUAACUGCUGUCUUGCUUGCUUUCAAAGGUCUUCCUAAAAAGAAGAAACAUUAGCACAAAACUACUCAUUCCUUUCAUAUUUUACAUCUACGCCUCUUAUAUUUAUAUAUAUAUGUAUGCAUAUGUGUGUACGUGCGUGUGUAUAUAUAUAUAUACAUAUGUUUGUGCUUGUAUAUGCAUACAUACAUAUAUAGAUAGACAGACAGACAGACAGACAGAGGGGAGGGAGAGAGAGAGGGAGAUAAAGAGAGAAAAAAUAAAGGAAAACAUUUAAGGAGGAGGAAAAAAAGGUCCUAACCGUGAGGUCUCAUCCAUGGGAACAUGAGACUGGGAGACGAAUUUUGAUUUAAAUGCCCUUGUCCCUCGCUAGAGUUACUGUUGGAAGACGAUUUACAGUCAGGAUAUUGUACAACAGUCGUCUCUUGCUGAGCACCAUAAAGCGAUUGCCUCGGUAGAGCUUCAUAUCCAUAGAAUUUAGAAGCGUCUCCGUGACACGCCAAGGCGCAUGGGUUUUGCUGGUAUCCAGAGUUGGAGAUGCUCGAGGUUCCGUGGUGGAAAAACUCUUGGACGUGGUGUGAAGGGUGCUGGAAGGUGGGAGCAGUAGUGCCCGGACCAUACACGAGAGCAUGGCUCCUGCUAACACUUUGUGGAAAUCUGCAGUCGUACAGCAGCCUCUUCACUGAUGGCAGCAAAUACAUGCGCUGGGAGGUCAGCCUAGGUAACCUCAACAGAAAAUAAAGGCAGAAAAUUAUGGGGAGUUAUUUUUUUUUUUUUUUCGUGCUUCCUUUCGAGCCAACCACUGAAAAUCCAAGGCUGGAAAUAACAGGGAAGCGUCCUUCCAAGGGAAUAAAGUAGACCAUUGCUUAAAGAGAGCUACUUUGGAAGAAAGAGGAAAAGUGAGACAGAAAGUAUGUGUUCCCUUUUGUGCAUGUACCAGGGGGCUUCGCCUGUAAAAAAAAAAUAACCAUCGGCAUUUUUGUUCGCUCUUGCACAUUGGGAUUUUUCCGUCGUUGGCAGUGGUGUUGGCGUGCCCCUUUCCCAGACUUUUUGCGCCGUGAGUGACCACUCGCUGCAACCUUUCACUUCGGACACUUCAUUUUACGACCGCACGAAGGAACUCAACUCAUUAAAAAAUCACCUAAAAUCGCCA